rnacentral:sRNA from 2 species
GUUGGCAGCGGCUAGGGUUCCGGCUUCGCGUGUAGUUGUUUGCGAAGUGCUGGUCCGAGAGCCGCACCCUGUCCGGUGAACAGCGGGCAGGUACACGGCGGGACAAAAGCCCGGGAGAC